rnacentral:lncRNA from 1 species
AACAUCAAAUUCUUCAAUCCCCAAUUUCUUCAAUCUAUUCUAUUCAAUCUUUUGUUAUGUACCUAUGGCGAUAGAGAUCUUGGGCCUCAUGAUUGCUUAACCAAAACGAAGCCGUUCGAUAACAAUGUGCGGAGCGCAUCAAAUGAUUCGUCAGAUCCGAAACAUUGUUGUAUUUGUUGGACAAGAUCUAGGAAUCAUGUUCUUCAUUUGACGGUCGAGAAGGUCUGGUACCUCUUGGAGGACUGUGCGGGAAGGUGCUCAGGUGUGGAUAUUGAUCAAACCGGAUUUGGUCGCUAUCCAGUUUGAGGCUCUCAUUUAGUGCUUGGAGAUCGUGCCGACGGAGGAUCUUGAUCUGCCGACCUCCAUGACUUGCUACUUAUAUCUUCCACCAUGUUGUCUUCCUUUGAAAUGUAAUUAGUACCUCUGAUUCAUCGCAAGUGCCUACUUUUGUUUAUGUCCGAUACUUGUUAGUAAUUGCAAGUACUGAUUAUUUUCUUUAGAGAUUCUGUGAGUGUUUGUGAUUUAGUACGUUGGAUCUGUUGAAGGUACUAAUUUCCAUUUAUGUUGAUAUCAUUAGUAGUUACAAGUACGGAUAUAACAACUAAUUUCUCUUGAUGCGGGUACUUGUUAGUGAUUGGAGGUACUAAUUUUUGUGUAUUUUAAAUUUCCAAAUAUCAGUUUUUGUUCGGUGGUACUGAGUUCAA